rnacentral:rRNA from 1 species
AUUGAACGCUGGCGGCAUGCCUAACACAUGCAAGUCGAACGAGUGGCGGACGGGGGAGUAAUGUCUGGGAAACUGCCUGAUGGAGGGGGAUAACUACUGGAAACGGUAGCUAAUACCGCAUACCAUCAGAUGUGCCCAGAUGGGAUUAGCUUGUUGGUGGGGUAACGGCUCACCAAGGCGACGAUCCCUAGCUGGUCUGAGAGGAUGAACGGCAACAAUGGAACUGAGAAACGGUCCAGACUCAUACGGGAGGCAGCAGUGGGGAAUAGUGCAAAAUGGGGGCAAGCGUGAUGGAGCAAUGCCGAGUGUAUGAAGAAGGGCUGCGGGUUGUAAAGUAGUUUCAGAAGGUAGGCGUUAACCGCAGAAGAAGCCCAGGCUAACUACGUGCCAGCAGCCGCGGUAAUAC